UCCUCGAUAGUAUAGUGGUCAGUAUCUCCGCCUGUCACGUGGAAGGCCCGGGUUUCGAUUUCCCGGUCGGGGAG
rfam:Macrostomum lignano unitig_20249, whole genome shotgun sequence.